ensembl:snRNA U6 U6 spliceosomal RNA
GUGCUCAUUUUGGCAGCAGAUAUACUAAAAUUGGAAUGAUAUAGAGAAGAUUACAUAGUCCCUGCACAAGGAUGACAUGAAAAUUCAUGAAGGAUUCCAAAUAAAU